rnacentral:misc_RNA from 1 species
GAAAUGCGAUAAGUAAUGUGAAUUGCAGAAUCCAGUGAAUCAUUGAAUCUUUGAACGCACCUUGCGCUCCUUGGUAUUCCUUGGAGCAUGCCUGUUUGAGUAUCAUGAAAUCUUCAAAGUAAAUCUUUUGUUAACUCAAUUGGUUUCUACUUUGGUAUUGGAGGUCUUUGCAGCUUCACACCUGCUCCUCUUUGUUCAUUAGCUGGAUCUCAGUGUUAUGCUUGGUUCCACUCGGCGUGAUAAGUUAUCUAUCGCUGAGGACACUGUAAAAGGUGGCCAAGGUAAAUGCAGAUGAACCGCUUCUAAUAGUCCAUUGACUUGGACAAUACUUUUAUGAUCUGAUCUCAAAUCAGGUAGGACUACCCGCUGAACUUAAGC